rnacentral:lncRNA from 1 species
AAACGGAAGAGAUUUGUUAUUUAACCAAAACUGAUUUAUGUUAUAAUAAUAUUAAUUACUAGUAUCAAUAUUAAUGAAAAAAUAGAGAGAAAAUAAAACUAGAAACAAAUGGGAAGAAGUUUUGUGAAUAUAAAGACAGAGUACUCCUUUUACACGGAAAAAAAAAAAAUUUGCAUACAAAUGUUCCUAACUCUAGAGAUGUUCAGAUUGUUCAAAAGAAGGUUAUAGAGAACUUAAAUUUAUUGUUCGAUGUCCAGAUCAUAGAAUCCUCUUUAUCUUCUUCUACCAACAGAAAUUCAACAAAAAGUAUCUAUUUGACCUUAUUAAACAUCCUUUUUGGCAAAGGUUCAAAUCACUAAGUCUGUUGCUAUAGAAAACAUCAACAUAAAACGGAACAAUAACACCUGUUCAAUAUCUCUUGGUUCCUUAAAAUUGGUUAAUCCAAUAUCUUCUAUGUGAACCACCUGUUAAUAAUAGAAAAAAUAUGUAUAUACGUUAAAACUUGCUCCACUACUCCAGGUAAUAGGACAAUACAAAUUCCGAAGCAUAAUUUCUACUUACCUCAGAAGGGGCACAUUGAAUAGUCAAUCAAGUAAUUUCUAGUGAUACGAAAAGGGACAAAUUGAAAAUACAUGAGUAGAAAAAAAAUGUGCCCAUCAAAGAAAUCGAUCAGCAAGAAAACUCAUUACUAUUACUUAUUGAAGUCAAGUCUUAAUAUCAUUGAAUUUGCCUGACCUUGUCAGUAGACAGUUCAAGUCAAAAUCACUUGAAUGACCAAUCUUCUUGGAGAAAAGGAGUAAAAUUAAUAGGAUCCACAGAACGACAACAACAAGUAAUAAAAAUAUAGUCUACUAUUAUUAGCCCAAAAUCUGAAAUUCGUAAAAAAAAUUAAAAACUUUAACAACAACUAUAACAACAACAAAUCCAGUAUGAUCCCAACAGAUGGGGUUUAGUAACGGUAGUCUGCACGCAAACCUUGGUUGUUUCCAACAAACCCUCGGCUCAAGAGUUGUUUUAGAGUGAUAAUGACAUAAAAGCAUCCCCAAGAAGCUAUUAGAUUUCAAACAACAAUGCGUGAAAAGAUAAAUCCUUCCAAUUAUUUUUAUCUGUUUACUUCCCAUAGAGUUGCUUGUCAAAAAAAACAAAUACAAAGAGCUCUACCAAGAUAAGAACGUAGUACUUCCCAGAGAAAAGCAAAAUCAUCCCAAGAAGAGUUCGAUAGCACAACGACAUCACAUUUCAAGGAUCCUGGUUCAUGUAAUAACCAAGAGUUUGAUAAAAUAUUAAAAACUUUGAUACCCAAAGAUACCCAAAUAUUCAAUUUCAAUUUCAAAAAGAUACCCAAAUAUUGGGGCACAUGGUUGUACCAAGAUAUAAUUCUGACCAUGAUACUAGGGCACAUGGUUGUACCAAGAAAUUUCAAAUUCAUCGAAAUUUCUAACCAGGAUAUAGUUCUGAAAUUAUAAAAAGUUUAAAACUUUGAGUAUAAAACAAAGAUUGUACCAAGAUACCCACAUAUUGUACACAAUAGAAGAUUAUUUUCCGUCUCCAUUAGUAAGAAACUAGAAAAAUCUAAUCUUAAAAUAUAAGAACAAAACUAAAAAUUGGAAAAAACAAAAAGUUGUGAGAAAAAAAAUACUUACCAAUAGAGAAAGGAAUGGAGAUUUGCUAUGGGCGAGAGUAAUCUAGAAGACAGAAGUAAUGAAUGUAUAGGAUGGAAUUAGGUUAAGGGAGGCAGUGAAGGUGAAGUAGCAAGAGAUUAGAGAAAAAAAUUGGGAAAAGUUUUUCCAGUAUCUUAUUUAGGCAAUGAUUUGUUAUGUUGUAUUGGGGGGAAAUAUUUUCAGUAAUUCUAAUAUCUGGAGCGAAAUGUAUAAAAUAUAUUUUUAGACUACGCUUAUAAAGAGUUACAAUAUUAUUAAUUAGUUUAAUAAUAGGACAACUCUUUAGAAAUGUUGCAUUAGGGUUUGUAAGCG